rnacentral:rRNA from 1 species
UACGGAGGGGGCUAGCGUUGUUCGGAAUUACUGGGCGUAAAGCGCGCGUAGGCGGACCUGCAAGUCGGGGGUGAAAGCCCGAGGCUCAACCUCGGAACUGCCUUCGAUACUGCGGGUCUCGAGUCCGGGAGAGGUGAGUGGAAUUCCUAGUGUAGAGGUGAAAUUCGUAGAUAUUAGGAAGAACACCAGUGGCGAAGGCGGCUCACUGGCCCGGUACUGACGCUGAGGCGCGAAAGCGUGGGGAUCAAACAGG